rnacentral:rRNA from 1 species
GACGAACCGUGCGAGCGUUGUUCGGAAUCACUGGGCAUAAAGGGCGCGUAGGCGGCUCCUCAAGUCAGGGGUGAAAUCCGGCAGCUUAACUGUCGAAGUGCCUUUGAUACUGGGGAGCUCGAGGGAGGUAGGGGUGUGUGGAACUUCCGGUGGAGCGGUGAAAUGCGUUGAUAUCGGAAGGAACGCCGGUGGCGAAAGCGACGCACUGGACCUCUUCUGACGCUGAGGCGCGAAAGCCAGGGGAGCAAACGGG